GCUUGUCUCAAAGAUUAAGCCAUGCAUGUCUCAGUACAAGCCAAAUUAAGGUGAAACCGCGAAAGGCUCAUUAAAUCAGUUAUGGUUCCUUAGAUCGUACCCACAAUUACUUGGAUAACUGUGGUAAUUCUAGAGCUAAUACAUGCAAACAGAGCUCCGACCGGAGACGGAAGGAGUGCUUUUAUUAGAUCAAAACCAAUCGGUGGCGGGCUCGUCAUCGUACAACUUGGUGACUCUGAAUAACUUUACGCUGAUCGCACGGUCACCGCACCGGCGACGCAUCUUUCAAAUGUCUGCCUUAUCAACUGUCGAUGGUAGGUUCUGCGCCUACCAUGGUUGUAACGGGUAACGGGGAAUCAGGGUUCGAUUCCGGAGAGGGAGCCUGAGAAACGGCUACCACAUCCAAGGAAGGCAGCAGGCGCGCAAAUUACCCACUCCCGGCACGGGGAGGUAGUGACGAAAAAUAACGAUACGGGACUCAUCCGAGGCCCCGUAAUCGGAAUGAGUACACUCUAAACCCUUUAACGAGGAUCAAUUGGAGGGCAAGUCUGGUGCCAGCAGCCGCGG
rnacentral:rRNA from 1 species